rnacentral:rRNA from 1 species
UCAGCGACUUAUAUUCUGUAGCAAGGUUAACCGAAUAGGGGAGCCGAAGGGAAACCGAGUCUUAACUGGGCGUUAAGUUGCAGGGUAUAGACCCGAAACCCGGUGAUCUAGCCAUGGGCAGGUUGAAGGUUGGGUAACACUAACUGGAGGACCGAACCGACUAAUGUUGAAAAAUUAGCGGAUGACUUGUGGCUGGGGGUGAAAGGCCAAUCAAACCGGGAGAUAGCUGGUUCUCCCCGAAAGCUAUUUAGGUAGCGCCUCGUGAAUUCAUCUCCGGGGGUAGAGCACUGUUUCGGCAAGGGGGUCAUCCCGACUUACCAACCCGAUGCAAACUGCGAAUACCGGAGAAUGUUAUCACGGGAGACACACGGCGGGUGCUAACGUCCGUCGUGAAGAGGGAAACAACCCAGACCGCCAGCUAAGGUCCCAAAGUCAUGGUUAAGUGGGAAACGAUGUGGGAAGGCCCAGACAGCCAGGAUGUUGGCUUAGAAGCAGCCAUCAUUUAAAGAAAGCGUAAUAGCUCACUGGUCGAGUC